rnacentral:rRNA from 1 species
GCGCGGACGCGCGGUCGGAAAACCGAGUAGGGCUUCCCGGAACCGGGGCCGUCCGACUGCGAGUUUUCGCGUCGCCAGACGCAUUUGUCUCUCGUCCGAAGGACGCCGCAGCCGGUUGGGCAGCGCAAGCGUGACGGCCUGAGGGGCGGAAGAUGGCAGGUGGCCAGUGGCGCGCCUCGUGCGCGUCGCUGGUUGUUAGCCGUUCCGUCAGUGGCUCGUCGCCCGACCGUGGUAACGCUGUCUCCUCCUUUGGAAGUCGUGACAGAGCGUGGCAAGAGAAGGCUGCCGACCGCCGCACUCCUCCGGAGUGGGCGGUAGAGCAGUCGGCUUUGAUCGCCGCGACGGGCACGUCGGAGGUCGGAGGCUCGCGGCGAGUAGGUCGGUCACCCACCCGACCCGUCUUGAAACACGGACCAAGGAGUCUAACAUGUGCGCGAGUCAAUGGGUCUUGAACAGGCCCAGGGGCGCAAUGAAAGCAAAGGUCGACGCACGUCGACCGAGCUGGGAUCCCUUCCCUCGAGGGAGGGCGCACCAGCGACCCGUCCUGUGCUGUUCGCAGCUUGGGCGGAGUUUGAGCGCACACGUUGGGACCCGAAAGAUGGUGAACUAUGCCCGGACAGGACGAGGCCAGAGGAAACUCUGGUGGAGGUCCGCAGCGGUUCUGACGUGCAAAUC